CGGCUGGCCAGCAGGGGGCGCUGGGGCGCCGCCCUCACCUACAAAGAGUCCAUAUUCCUGGUUACUACACAAUUAAAAAAAACAAACUGUUAGGAAUAAUUUCGGAUGAAGAUAUGUGUAAAAUAAUGUAUUUUUUUUAGCUUUUUGUGCAUGUUAAGCGCAUUACACAGUGUUUCUUUUUAAUGAUUUUUCAUUGAACAACACUUCCUGGUUGCGGGGGCGCCGGUCAAAUGAAUCCCUAUUGUCAGCCUCAAACUUUUGACUAAAAUGUCACUGGAGGCUGCGUUUUGAUUGGUUCGUUAAAAAUCUGCUUGUGGCGCAGCUCGGUGCGCCCCGGAUACGCCCACUUUUCAUCGUCAGCCAAUUAGAAUAGUUGAAUUAUGUUGCUUCAGUGUGUUUGGACAAUGUCAUGGUCAAUUAUACACUCCUGUAUUUUAAGCCAGUGUGACGUACAUCCGUAGUAGCAGAGUGAGUUGGAGACGAGUCUGUAGUAGCGUACGAUUAGAAAGAUGGCAUGUGAAAGUGGAACCGGAAUACCCGAGCGAAUUAAUUCUGUAAAAUAUUUACAAGAGCACCCAUUUUCAAGAUGUUCUCUCGAGGAGCAAAAGAGGAUAAAGGAGCUCGGGGCUGACCAGCCUGAUCUGCAAGUACAGCAACAAAGCGGCGACCGCGGAAGAGCUUAUACCCGGGCUUUUUCCCGCUCUUACUAUGAAAAACGGAGUUGGCUUGCCGGUUGCGCCGUGAGUAACGCCUUUUUCUGCUUCCCUUGUCUGCUGUUUGAAAGUGUCGGCACCACCGAAACGUUGUGGACAAGCCAUACACAGACUUCGUUUUUCUUUUCUUCCUAACUCUGUAACUGUAUUGAAAUUAAAGUGGCUAAGUUUUAAGUGUCAACUUUCCAAGAAAAUUUGCGCCCCCCUAAAAAAAAUUGUCAUCAGCCGCCACUGCUGUACACCUCAGUCUUCC